GACGUAGGAUGCAAGCGUUGUCCGGAUUUAUUGGGCGUAAAGAGUUCGUAGGCGGUUUGUUAAGUCUGAUGUUAAAGACUGGGGCUCAACCUCGGAAAUGCAUUGGAUACUGGCAGACUGGAGUGCAGUAGAGGCAAGUGGAAUUCCCAGUGUAGCGGUGAAAUGCGUAGAUAUUGGGAAGAACACCGGUGGCGCAGGCGACUUGCUGGGCUGUAACUGACGCUGAGGAACGAAAGCCAGGGGAGCAAAUGGG
rnacentral:rRNA from 1 species